GGACCAGCUUCGUGUGCCAGCUCAUCAUCUUCGCCAACCUUCU
rnacentral:tRNA from 1 species